rnacentral:rRNA from 1 species
AAACUUUGCAAUACACGAAAGUGUGACAGGGCUAUCCCGAGUGCCAUCCGCUGAGGAAGGCUUUUACCCAGUCUAGAACGCUGGGGGAAUAAGGAGAGGGCAAGUCUGGUGUCAGCCGCCGCGGUAAUACCAGCUCUCCGAGUGGUGUGGAUGUUUAUUGGGCCUAAAGCAUCCGUAGCUGGCUAAGUUAGUCCCCUGUUAAAUCCAACGAAUUAAUCGUUGGAUCGCGGGGGAUACUGCUUGGCUAGGGGACGAGAGAGGCAGACGGUAUUUCCGGGGUAGGGGUGAAAUCCUAUAAUCCCGGGAAGACCACCAGUGGCGAAGGCUGUCUGCUAGAACGCGCCCGACGGUGAGGGAUGAAAGCUGGGGGAGCGAACCGG